AUUAACCCACAUAAGAGAUGGCAAUACAAUGAUUGGUGGAAGUCAGAACCAAAUAUCACUUCAUCAGGGCUGCAGCAAUUGAACUUCAUUGUCCGUACUGCAUUUUUGUAGCAUGAACUGCGAAAGAGAUUUGUUGUGGCAGUCCCAGCAGCCAAACCCCCCUUUGUUCUGGACUGCUUGCCGCUAAAGUUGAACAGCAGGGCUUUCCCAUCCACAGUAGGGAACUC
rnacentral:misc_RNA from 1 species